UUCAUUCUUCUAUAUAUAUCUGGAUAUGGCGGAGCAGCCACGCUCCAUGCAAAUAAUAGCUAGUUAGCUCUUGUCACAUCACCCCAAUCCUCCUUACCAAACAGCUUGAUACUCCUCUUAGCUUCAAUCCUGAACUGUGACCCCAGGUUCUGGUCAUCCUCACGAUGAAGAACAACCAUGUCACCAACUCUCAGUUCAUAAUAUUUAACAAAUUGACGCCAGCCCUUAGAAAGCACUGGCUUGUCAUAAUCUCCAUCUCUCUUCAGGCAACGAAUAACUCGAAGCUCACCACAGCUAUCUUUAACAUGCAAAUCAACAGAAUUAUUUCCAGCAAAAUCUAAAUGCUGCAAGCAAUGAGCUGGGAACGAGAACCGAAAACGAACAUCAGUAUCUGUCAACACUUUGCUGAAGAUCUGCAUUUUUUUCUCAAGGGUCGUAAAAAGAGAGAGAAAUGGUUAUGUUUAAGCUAUCUGCUGGAUUGAUAUGGUUUCUUGCAGGGAGCUAUCUGUUGAUUGAUAUGGUUUCUUGCAAGGGGCUUGUUGAUUUAUACUAAAAACUAGCUAGCUACUGUAUUCACGGUAGAAAGACAUCGAGCGAGAGAUUUCGGAAAUCUUGUUCAUUUGAUCGAUUUCGCAUGGCGUUAUUUAAAUCUUGGUGGAUUAUUUGUAGAUAGAACAAGAGAAACGCAGGCUUAUCAAAGACUAAAUGAGCCAGGAGGUACGCUCGUAUUGCCUCUCGUGCACCUCGUUCGUUCUAACUUGCGAAAACCAAACACUUGCUCAAGAUCUUGCAUGCUUGUCGAAGUGUUUAGUGAACUAGAGCAUUUGUGCAACUUGGACAAUGGUACAAGAAUAAAUAAGGUUUAUUUUUCAAUUAUAUUUUAUGAAAUGAAAAUUGUCCUCUUAUUAGACAUACAUGAAUAAUAAUAAAAUAUAUUUCUUAAAAAUUAUAUUUUAAAAGGUUUCAUUUAUAAUUUUAUCUAGGUUACCUAUUCAUUUUAAGUCUGGGUCAUGAACUUAAGUUUGCGUCAUGAACUUGGGAUAAUGUCAUCUCUUAAGAGAUGAGGCUUUCACUCUUUCAAUUAUCUAGCAUUAACAAAAAAAUAAAAUUAAUUACAUGUUUAUGGAGUUAUUAAUCAUGCUCAAUAAUUUUUACAGUGUGCAACUUAAAUAUGAAAAUGGAGAUUUAUAUAAUACAUUGUUAUCAGUUAAUUGUAUUUUGCCAUUACUAUUGGCUCUUGUGAUUUUAGAUAAAGCUGGUUCUUGAUCUUGCAGGCGUGUGCUCUAAGUCCGCCCAAAGUUUCAUCAAUAAGGUCCACAGAGAGGGAGAGCUACAUCCUGCAUUUUCUUGAGAUUUCUGCGAGGUUUUUGUUCGAAUAAGCAACAAGGUGCACGAUAUUGCUGGAGGGCAAGUCCUUCCAUGCGUGUCCAAAAUUCGAAGUCAUUUUCAAUUCAAGGUCAACAAUAUAUUUUUUAUAAUAUAAUAAUGCUAGAAUGACGCUCGAUCUCCUCAGCAAUCAGCAUGCAUCGAGUAAUCGCGUUUGGAUUUCGAGCUCCACUGAUUUGAAAUGCUCGGUGUCUGUGUUGUAUACAUGUAGCCCAAGGAAUAAAUUAAGAGGGUUUGGAGAAAUUUGCCACACGGGAUCAUGUCUGUACUAUCGACCGAGACGGUCAGCACUGUGGGCGUGCAAUGACGUUUCUACUCGGAGGAGGCUAUGUGAUUUCUUUUUGACAGCACUGUACUUAAGCAUUGCCCUUUACUAUUACAAUUUUAUGUGCUGCAGCAAAUCGCUUUCUUUCUUCUAGUUCUUCCUUAGCAGGAGUUUUGUAUAGCAACCAACUUUCUUCUUCGCGCUUUUCAAAGCCGCAAUAAUAGACUUAAAUGCGCAUGUCAUUUGAAACGUUGCCUCAUCGGCAUGUCAUUAGAAAUGUUCUUCUCGCGGUUCUUCGCCUCUCUCUCUGUUUUUUUUUUCUUUUUUUUAAGUACUAUUUUAAUUUUGUUUACCAACAAAAGUUAAUUGCCGGUUGAUUAAAACAAUAUAGUGAUAUGCACCCCGGGAAGCGAGCAAGCUGAACAAGCUGCAAGCAGCGACCUCAUUUUUUCAUGUUACACUAUUAGACAAAUCUAGAGUGUUUUUAAGAAUUUAUUAUUUAAAGAUAUGAUUUUUUUAUUUUUUUGAAAAAUUCUUUAAAAGUUAGGUUGUCGCAAACCACAAGUCAUUCAACUGUCCACAGCAAUCCACACGAACUACCGAUAAAACAUCUCUUAAAUUUCUAUUUCGGAGAGAGGAAUUUCUAUGCCUAGAGUACUAGCCUUUUAUUCUGUGACUUGCAUAGUUUUUUUAUCCAACAUACAACAAUAAAAUUAAGAAGCAUAGCUUACUAUUUAUAGAAAAAAUCUAAAAAACCUUAUAAAUUGGAAGACAUUUCAAUUUGCCCCUUGCUUAAUCGAGUCCUUCCUUGAUUUUUCUAGGUCUAGAAAUAUAAUAUUUGUAUUCUAGUCCUUAAUUUCUAAAAUAUAUUUUAAUCAAGUCAUACCUAAUUAAAUUAUCUCAAUUUAAUUUCUAACUAGUGGUUCUUAAUGUCUGUGACCCAUUAGGUUCCUAAUAUAUUGGCCCAAAUAUAAAUUAUAAUUCUAAUUAAAUAUAAUUAAAUAAAUCAAACAAUUUAAUUUAUUAUCAAUUCAACAAUUGAUUAAUUUAUAUUUAAAGAUCAGGUGCAUCGUCUAAUAACGUGUCAUGAUCCCCUAAAUAUUAGAGAAGUCAUUGGUGGUUUGACUUAACCUUUGAGUGACUAGUUUUUUAGUGUAAUUAAUAUCAUUUCAUCAAUAAUGUUCCGAUUAAUUAGUUGCGAGUGAAGUUGAGAAGAGAAAAAAGAAAAAUCUUACCUUAAUAUAGUUGCGAGUGAAGCUGAGAAGAGAAAAAAAUAAAUUCAUAAAGUAUAUUAAUUAAAAAAUAUAUGAGAAGAGAAAAGAAAAAAAAAAGAGAAAAAGACAUACUUGAGAAUGGAGAAGAAGAGGAGUUGAAGAGAAAAGAUAAGAGAAAGAAAGAAGAGGAUGUUGUUGUUUUUUACAUAAGGGGAAGAAGAAGAAGAAGGAGAAGAAAAAGAAGAAGCAGAAUAUGCUCGUCUGUUGUGAAAUGAGGGAUUCUAUUUAUUAGGGUAUUUUACUAAUGGUUUUACCGACGGAUAUUAAUAUUUCUAACUUUCAUUGAUGAUUUCGUCUAUAAUAUUUAAUUUAAAUUUUCAAUUUAAUUAAAAAAAUUCAGAAACCACCAAAUAUCACCAACGACUUUUCAAUCCGUUGGUGAUUCUAUUUGUAUUAUUUAAAUUAAAUUUUAAAUUUACUCAAAAAUUUUCAAAAACCUGCAAAAUAACACCAAUGACUUUUCAAUUCGUCUAUGAUUUUGUCUAUAAAGAGCAAUAAUUAACUGUGCAAUUGGAAAGUGAACAGUUCCAGUGCUCUUUGAAAAAUACCGACGAAAUGUUCUGUCGGUGAUUCCCUUUGUAAUUGACAUGAUAAACAAUGUUAGGCAAAAGUGAACACUUUACUGAUGAUUUUACCAAAGGAUUUUACCGACGGAAUUAAUUACGUCGGUAAUUCUUUUGGUAUAAAUGACAUAUCAUCGUUUUUUUUUUUUGCUUUGUUUUAAUUCUUUUUUCCCCACCGUAAUUCCUUUGGUAGAUACUGAGAGAAUAUUUUUGUCGGUAAAAUUGACUGUAAUUUUUUGACAGAAAUAUUCUGUCAGUAUUUCUGUUUGUCUUUAUCAAUUUUCUGAUAGUGCUCCACCAUAAUUAAUGUGUAAAACAAUAUUGUAUAUAUCACUUGCUGAAAAUCUAGCAAGUGAUAUUUUUCAUCAUUUUAAGGACCUAAAAAUCCAUACUCAUUUGCGUCAAGAGAUAUGAGAGUCGCUACCUAGUUGUUUGGUUUAGAAUCACUAGGAAAUCCGGGUAUACUGGUCCUAUCAAAAAUUCUAAGGGUAAGGAACUGGUUGUGGCUAGGAAAUGUAUUAACACCCCUAGCAAAAAGAGGAGGGUAAAAGGGUAUUUUAAAUUAAAAUAAACCACGUGGUCAUAACACAAAAGGGGAGGGGUAAAGGGGUAAAAUACCCUAAAACCAUCUCUAUCUCCCACUUUUCUUCUAAGUGUCGCCGACAAGGCACCUUGCCCUUGCUACCAGUGUGCUUUCCAGCGAUAGCCAAGGCUAUCGUUGCACCAAGCAACAGAAACCAAGGUCAUUGUUGCCUACAUCCACACGAGGCCCAACACUGCGAGCAACAUCUAGCACGCCUGGUGCUGCCACCCAUGACAACGUGAGACAUUGCUACACAUACUUGUUUUGUAAAAAAAUCUGAUUUUAAAAAAUCAUGAGAAAAUUUGACUUUUUCGAAGAAAAAAAAUCUUUAUUUCGCACAUAAAAUUAAUUUCUAAUUAACACUAAUAAAAAUUAAAAUGUGCAAUCAAACAAUCCUAAUUCACCUAACGAAGGCGCUAAUCCCACUAUUGGGUUUCCAUAAUGGCAUACACACAGUAGAAAGAAUAAAAAAAUUAUUUGAAGUCCAUAGGAUCCCGUUAGACAAAUCUAGAGUUGUUUAGGGAUUUAUUACCUGAAGAUCUGAACUUCUUCGGCUUUGAAUAAUUCUUUAAAGGCUGAGUUGUUGCAAACCACAAGUCAUCCAAUUGUUCAGCUUCCAACGGUAAUCUACACGAACCACUAGUGAAAAAUAUUCUAAAUCUCUAUUUAAGAGAGAGGAAUUUCUAUGCCUAUAGUACUAGCUAUUUAUUCUAUGACUAGUAUAGUUUUUUUUUUUUUUGUCUAAGACAGAUAAUAACAAAAUUAAGAGGCAUAGCUUACUAUUUAUAGAAAAUUCCAAAAAUCCCUAUAAAUUGGAAAACAUUUCAAUUUAUCCCUUGAAUAAUAUCCACAUAUUAUUGUUCUCUCUAUGGACCUGUCUCUUUUAUGUAUUGGGGGAAUGCUCGUUUUUGCUGCCUAUCUAAACUUUUUUAAAAAUUUUAUUUUUUAUUUUAAAUUAAUUUUUUAUGUUUAAAAAAAAAACUUUAUGUGUGAAUAUUAAAAUUAGAUUUUUAAAAAAAUAAAAUAAAAAUUAUUUUAAUAUAUUUUCAAAUAAAAAACAUUUUAAAAAAUAAUUUUUACCAUAAUAUCAAACACAACCUAAAUUUUAAAAGAAAAAUAAAAGGAUUUAUAUAAGGAAUGUGUAAUAGCAAGAUUUCAAACACUAAUCAACAAUAAACUCAACCAUGUAUAUUUACUAUACAAAAUGUAAAACUACUCACAAAUUACUAUUAUUAGCUACAUUAUCUGCUUUCACAAAUUAUUAUUAUUAAAACAAGGCAUGUCUUGAGCCUCAACUCAUGCGAUUCAAAAGUCUAAAAUCAUAUACACAUCCAAGACUAUAACUUUUAUGAAAGAUGUGAGGUCAGAUAAAUUUGUUUUGAAGGUAAAACCCCAAACACAAAUUGAAAGACGAGAUUAGUCUUCUAAUUUGAUGAGAAAACUUGUAGGAGGGAGUUGUAUCUUGAGAAGGAAUUUAAGAGUAUCGGAAGGAUUGUUUUCUACAUCCUUUAAACUUCAUAUCUUUAUCCUUGAUUUUAUCAUGAAAUCUUAGUCCUGAGAUACAAAAACAGGGAAAGACCAACUAGACAGUUGGGUUCUAUUUUGCUCCUGGGAUUUGGAGAGAGAUUAUCUUAAGUGCUGGAAUUUUCAGAGAUCAUGAGCAACUAAUUUCUAAUUUCGAUUUAAGGAGAAUAUACUCCAUUUCUAUUAGAAAGUUGUGAGAAGUAAUGUUGUUAUUGUAAUUCUUUUAAAUUCAAAUAGUUAAUUUUCCUAGUUUAGCUUUAAUGUACUUAUUUAGCCCAUGAGAGAAGCAUAAGCAGCGAUCAUGGAAUUUCGAGAAACAAAGAUUUUCCCUUUUCAUGUCAUUUGAAACGUUUUUAGCUUCAUGUUUAUAUAUACACACACAUACUAAUUAGCUAUUAAAAAAAUGACAAACUAACUAAAAGAAAAACUUACAUUAAAAAAAAAACAAAGAAACAACAAAAAAUACUAAUAUUGAGCAUUAAACUACCUCAAUGUAUAAUUUGAAUAUCUAGCUAGAUUAAUAUCUAUAUAAAUAAAAUUUUGAAAUUUAGCACGAAACCAUUAAACUAUACGAUGAAAAAUUAAAUCAUAAAUUUUAUUUCAACCAAGAUCAACAGCACCGUAUAUAGAUGACCAACAAAUGAUUUCAUUCCAGCAAGGAAAGCUGAAUAGUCUUCAGCAUACUCAAUCCAUUGCAUAAUCAUAACUAAUAAUUCUUCUAUAGGCAAGAAAUUUUCUGGAACUCAGACUACCCUGUAACAACAACCACAAAAACAUCUCAAUUUUUUAGAAGAAAUAUACUUGCUACAGUUAAGUAUCAAAAUUCUCAGAUCCUGCAUGCUGAUUUAACAGUAAAAAUCUCAAUGGAUUCACUGACCAAAUUCCAAGCAAUCCAAUUGACCACAAGCAGAGAGCACACGAACUGAUGUUACAAACGCAGCCUCCAGCAUGUUACAAACCAUUCUAAAGCUUCCUCCAGCAAUUUUGAUAAACGACAUCCUUGCCAGCUCUAGCUCACCGCUUUUAGCAUACCCAUUAACCAUACUCGUCCAAGAGAGCACAUCUCUAACUCCCAUGGUAUCAAAGAUCCCUCUUGCAGAAUCCAAGCAGCCACAUUUCACAUGCAUUGUGAUUUACAUUUCUAGUUUUACAUAUUCGUGAAAACUCUUCCCUUUUCUCAAACCCCCCUUCUGCGAGCAAGCUGAACGAGUGGCUAUCGUAGUGACCUCUUCUGGCUCCACAUUGCCCUCCACUGACAUCGACUCAAAAAGCUUCCCAACAGUUACGCUUAGAACACCCAUCAGUCAUAGACAGAAAUUCCAUCUCUAACAGGAAUUCCUUCAAACAAGUGUCAAGCAAAACCCAAACAACCACGCAGGUCAUAAAAACGAGCCAACCCAUCUUGAAACAACAUAGCAUGAUUUAUACCUGCAGUGUGAGAGAGGGCAAAAGGCCAAGGCAAGACAAAGCUUGGGGGUAGAUUAGCCAGACUAUAAAGGAGAAGGACUUAUUUGUACUUGUUCCAAGAUUGUGAGUCAAAAUAAUACCGCUUCUUUUCCUUCAAACGCAAUCUCGUCCUACGUUCCAGGGAAUCUUUUUACCUAAUCUCUUAAUAUAUAUUUGAAUGGCAUCUUGGCUUAAGCUCCUUCAAUUAUUGCUUUCGAAUAUUCUCAUGGUAUUGCUCUUUGUUUUUGAGGAUCCAAUUAAUAAGCAAAUCAUGGAGACUUGGCUGUUGACCUCAACACUCUCGUCUGCUUUGACUCCUUCAAUAUCUUGGAUGUGAACCAGGCUUGGAAUAUUGGGUGUUCUUGUUUUUGAUACAUGUAAAGAGGUAAGCUAAGCAUCUCUUUCAAGAUCUCUCUAGCUGCUGCAGCGAUGCCAAAUCGCUUUCUUUCUUCAAGUUCCUUAGCAGGAGUAUUGUAUAGCAACCAACUUUCUUUGCGUUUUGCUCCAGGUCUGGGCCAAUUUUGAUGCCUUUUGUGAAUCCCUCCAUCUGGGCUUAUCAAAAGAGGAGGAGGAAAGAAGUAAGUUUCUCUUCUCAGUUUUGUAUGAUAUGGUUUCUGUGCUUCAUUAUUGAAUUACUCUCUGUGAAUUUUAAAGGACUGGACAUGUUUCAAUUCAGUACUGAGCUAGUUUCUUGAUGGUUGCUUGCCUGCUUACUUCAGACUUCUUUACAAAAGAAAAGAAAAGAAAGAAAAACUGUCCUCUUGAGACAUCACAAAACCAAUAAAACUUCACAUAAACUAGGAAGGAAAGGGGAAGUUGGAAUCUUGAGUUCACAGGCUAAUGGUGGAGUCCACGUUACAAUUGCUUUGCUUAAACAAAUCUUAGCGUUCUGUUUUUUCAAUUGAAAUAAAAUGAAUAUAAUUUCAACUCAAAUCUAUAUAUAACCACAAUUUUAAAAGUUGAGUUUUAAUCGGUAGAACCUAAUUAAUUGGAUGAACAACUAAUAAAAUUAUAAUUUGAUUAAAAAUAUUAAGCAGUUAAAUUUUCAAUAAAUUUUUUAUUAAAUAAAAAUAUAAAAAAAAUCAAAUCUAAAAAAAAAAAAACAAAAGGAUGACCUUUCAAAACAAAGUUCUAAAAAUACAAUCAUCAAUUUUGCAAGGUCUUUCUAAAUUUUUAACCUGAGAUUUCAUAAUAUGUUAAGACACUUCUCAUAAAAUUUCAGUCUGAUCUAAUAAUUAAAUUGAAAAAUAUAAUUACUAUUUUAAAAAUAAAUAAUAUUUAAAAAAAUAAGAAAAAAAAAUAUUGCCUCUCUUUUUGUUUUACACGGUCCCUCCAACCUAUUAUUAUUAUUAUUUCCCCUCUUUUAAUUUUAAGAUAUCCCAUUUUAUUUUAUCAGUCGAAAGUUUUAUAAAUACCAGAGUUUCCAGAAAUCUCCAAAAUGUCGUCAAAGUUUUAGGAACAUAAUUUUAUAGAUGAUAUGUUAUUGCGAUAGGAUUUGAAUCCAUCCAUCUUUGUUUCUUAGCAUCACCAAUGAGUUAGUUCCCAUGAUUUCAAAAACUAUAUGUAUGGAUUCUCUAUGGUUUUAAAUCAAUGGAAAUCUUCAUUUUCAGACACUUGAAAAGCGCACAAAAUAGAAAAAAAUAAAAAUAAAAAACCAACAAAAUUGAAAAACCUGGAAAUCAAGCCAGAGCAAGGGAUAGAUAUGAAAUGUUAAAAACUUGAGAAUUACAUGCACCCUGUUUACAGAUAAGGAUGGAAAGACUAAGACUGAUGCUAAGAACAUCGAUUAUCACUACAAACAGUACUCAAACAUAAACAGAUUGACGCUCCAUGCAAAUAAUAGCUAGUUAGCUCUUGUCACUUCAACCCAAACCUCCUCACCAAACAGCUUCAAACUACUCCUCCUCUUAGCUUCAAUCCUGAACUGUGACCCCAGGUUCUGGUCAUCCUCACGAUGAAGAACAACCAUGUCACCAACUCGCAGUCCAUAAUCAGCAACAAAAUCACGCCAGCCCAUAGAAAGCACUGGCUUUUCAUAAACUCCAUUUCUCUUCAGGCAACGAAUAACUCGAAGCUCACCAUAGCAAUCUUUAACAUUCAAAUCAACAUAAUUAUUUCCAGCAAAAUCUAAAUGCUCUAAGCAAUGAGUUGGGAACGAGAACCGCACACGAACAUCAGUAUCUUUCAACACUUUGCUGAGGAUCUGCAUUUUUUUCUCUAAGGGUCGUAAAAAGAGAGAGAACUGGUUAUGUUUAAGCUAUCUGCUGGAUUGAUAUUGUUGCUUGCACCGAGCUUGUUAAUUUAUAACUAGCUAACUACUGUAUUCACGGUAGAAAGACAUCGAGCGAGAGAUUUCGGAAAUCUUGUUCAUUUGAUCGAUUUCGCAUGGCGUUAUUUAAAUCUUGAGGGAUUAUUUGUAGAUAGAACAAGAGAAACGCAGGCUUAUCAAAGACUAAAUGAGCCAGGAGGUACGCUCGUAUUGCCUCUCGUGCACCUCGUUCGUUCUAACUUGCGAAAACCAAACACUUGCUCAAGAUCUUGCAUGCUUGUCGAAGUGUUUAGUGAACAAGAGCAUUUUGGGCAACUUGGACACUGGCCAAGGACCCAUUUAAUAAAAAACUACAAGAAUAAAUAAGGUUUGUUCUUCAAUUAUAUUUUAUGAAAUGAAAAUUUUGUCCUCUUAUUAGACAUACAUGAAUAAUAAUAAAAUAUAUUUCUUAAAAAUUAUAUUUUAAAAGGUUUCAUUUAUAAUUUUAUCUAGGUUCCCUAUUUAUUAAUACAUUGCAUAAGAUUUGUUAUCAGUUAAUUGUAUCUUGCCAUUAUUAUUGGCUCUUGUGAUUUUAGAUAAAGCUGGUUCUUGAUCUUGCAGGCAUGUGCUCUAAGUCCGCCCAAAGUUUCACCAAAUCCUGCGUUUUCUUGAGAUUUCUGCGAGGUUUUUGUUCGAAUAGGCAACAAGGCGCACGAUAUUGUUGAAGGGCAAAUCCUUCCAUACGUGUCCAAAAUUCGAAGUCAUUUUCAAUUCAAGGUCCACGAUAUACUUUUUAUAAUAUAAUAAUGCUAGAAUUACGCUCGAACUCCUCAGCAUGCAUCGAGUAAUCGCGUUUGGAUUUCGAGUUCGACUGAUUUGAAAUGCUCGAUGUCUGUGUUGUGUGCAUUAGGGGUGAGCAAAAAAACCGAAAAACCGAUUAAACCGAGAAAAUCGAAAAAAAAAUAACCGAAAAAACCGAACCGUAAAAAAAAACCGAUCAAACCGAUUAGAAAAAUUAAAAAACAAGCCGGUUCGGUUCGGUUUCGGUUUUAAAAAGCUGAAACCGAAUAAACCGAACCGAACCGAACCGGUUCAAGUAAAAAAAUUAAUACUACUAUAAAUACCUACUUUUCAGCUUUCCCCUUCUUUUUUCUAAACCCUAGCCGCCACCCAUCUUUCACAAUCUUUACCUCUCAACUCAGCCCCCACCCCCAUCUUCACUUUCAACCUUUAUCGUCCAUAUUUUUCAAUCUUCAUCUCUCAGCACAGCUCCCCUCCCAUCUUCAUCUCUCAUCCCUCAACCUUCCCCAUCACAGCCCCUAUCUUUAUCUCUUAUCUCUCAAUUUUUCUCACAAUCCUCCAUCAACAUCUUCAUUUCUCAUCUCUCUCAAACUUUCUUUAAAGCUUUAAGCACAACUCCCCUCCUUCCUCAAAGUAGAUCCGGUGAACGAACCAUCAUUAUGUCUCAUCUCUCAAUCUUUUUGUUCUUUUCUUUAAACAUAGUCGACUAAGCUCAUGGAUUAACAACCAAACAGCAGCUUUGGAGCCCCCCUCUCUCCAAUCUUUAUCUUUUAAUUUUUGUCCUUGUUUAGUUUUUUUUUUUCCUGAUUUUUGUAGAUUUAUUAUGUAUUCAUUUUCUAUAUUUAUUUACAAGAAUGUUGAUCUGUCAUUCAUGUUCCGAUUACCGUAAUGGAUGUUGUGAUAAUUAUUUUUUUCAAAUUUUCGUUUGAAUCUUGUUCUUUUUGGCUUCCUGAUUCAGAAAACUUGCUUGAUAUGCGUGGUCAAGAUGAAAUCGGUUUAUUCCGGUUUUUCCUUUUAAUUAACCGAACCGAACCGAACCGAAACUGGUCGGUUUGAACCGGUUUCGGUUCGGUUUCGGUUUUGAUUUAAAAAUGAAUAAAUAAAUCGGUUUGGUUAGUUUUUUAGGUGAAAACCGGACCGAACCGGAAAUGCUCACCCCUAGUGUGCAUGUAACCCAAAGAAUAAAUAGUGUUUGUGUCAUCGACCGAGACGGUGAGCACUGUGGGCGUGCAAUGACGUUUCUGCUCGGAGGAGGCUAUGUGAUUUCUUUUUGACAGGCAGCGGUUUCUUUUCUUUAUUCUUUAUUAUUUUUUCCCAAAGGGUUCCUAUUAAGAUAGAAAGGAUACAUGGUUCAGACAAAAAAAAAAAAACAUAUUUAUCUUGUAAUCCUAUUUAUUUUUAUAUUUUAUAUUUAUCUCUCUAACCCGAAACAUGUUUGUUCUUUUUAUAUUUAUAUUUAUAUUUGUACUUUCUAUUUUAAAACAAUAAUCAGUGCAUUAAUUAGACAGACAAUUACUAUCUAAUCACAAUUAUUUUCACAAUUUACACGGCUGAAUCUUGAAACACACAUGGUGCGGCUAAUCAAGCCAAAUUUGAUAGCAUUGAAGGGGUUUUGGUGACUUUUAUUUUUCACAAGAAGAAUGAAGUGCAACAUGGUGUUAUGUUGGCUUUAUCUUGCAGCUGCAAAAUGGGAUAAAAUGGCUGUCAUUUGUCAUUUUAUGGAGUUGAAUUAAACAUAUUUGUUUUUACGUUAUAAUUUUUUUUAAUUUUGUUUUUUUAAUUUUUUUUAUCAAUAUCCUCUCUCUCAUUUCUUUUUUUAAUUGUUCGCAUUUAAAUUUUUUUAUAACUAGUAACUAAUCUUUUUUAUUGUCUCUAUAAUUUUAUAAUAUCUUAAAUAGAUUAUUAUAAUUUAUCUUUAAAUUUUACAUCGAUCUAUUGUGUUUGUAUAUAUGAUAUAUUUAUAAAAAUAAAAAUCACAUGUAUUUAAUGAACCUAAUUUCACCUCCAAGAUUGAUAAAAAAUAUAUAUUUAAAAUGAAAAGAACAAUAAAGAUAAAAUAUUUACAUGUAUAUCUAUCAUUUCCUUUUUUACUAGGAUAUAUAAUUUAUUUUGUUCUCUUCUUGGAGACCCUUCUUCUGCAUACUCAACUCACUUUAUUUCUUCAAGCUAGUGAUAUUAGAAAAAUAAAAAAAUACUAUUAAUAUUAGAAAAAACCUAUAUAUAAUUUUUUUAUAUUUUGAUAAUAUAAUACCCACUUAAGAAUAUAUUAAGAAAAUUAAUGUGAAAACAGGAAAAGAAAGAAAGCAUCACGGUAGCAAUAGUGCCAUAAACGUGUUUGUCGGAGAAAAGAAGAAAGAGCUUGGAGAGGUGGAAGAUAAUUCACAUCAAUGGUGAUGUGAAUGUUUGUACCUGAAAUAUUCUCACGGUUGAUUGAGACUUGUUGUUGCUAAUGAUUAAUCGAUUUUAAUUUAAGACAAGACUGCAAGAUCAUCGUGUACAUCGAAACAUGGAGAGAUAAUAACCUAAGGCUGGUUGGUUUGUUUUUGCGUUUUAAACGUUUAUAUUUAUCAUGUAAAUAUUAUCUGUGAGCUUGUUGAAGCUCAGGGGCCUGAUUUUGUGCCUCGAAAGAAGUAGAAAACAUUACAAAAAAAAAAACCAUACUUAUCAGUGCAUUAAUUAGUUUUACAAUUUACACGGCUGAAUCUUGAAACACCAGCCCAGUUAUUGGCCAUUUUAAGCUUCAAACGCAACGGCUGAAACCUUCGAACUUACUCUUGACUUCCAUCUGGAAGUGCUUCAUCGUUAAAUUCAUUGUUUUACUUUUAUAUAUAUAUAUAUAUAUAUAUAUAUAUAUUGAGUUAUCUCGAUAUUAUAUUUCGGAUAAUAAGUUAGUCAAAUUAACCAUGAUUGUCACUCUCUUUUUUUUUUCCUUUGAUUUGUUUUAUAAAAUUAAAAUGUUUUAAACAAUUUCAUACUUCGGUGUUAAAUUAUUGAUCCUUGAACUAAGUGAUUUUUUCACUUUUUUAUUUUAUUUUGAGUUAUCCCCAGUAUAGGUUAAUCAAAUUAACCCGGGUUAACUUGCAUUUUCUUACUCGAUGUCUUUUUAUUUAACUUCGGUUUUUUUUGUUGGGUCCUUCUUUUGGAAAUCUAACUUUUUUUAUCCUGAUUUCAUGCCGCUAGUGGCAAGUUAGUCGAGUUAACUGGGUAUUUUCCCCCCAAAUUUUUUAUGACUUGUUUUUAUUUUUUAAUUUUAUCAUUCUGCAUUAAAUUAUUUUCCUUAAACUUUUUUUUUUUUUUUUGCUUCUCUUUCUAUUUCUUUAUUUCAAGAGUGGGUUGAUCAAGCUAACUAGGGUCAACUUGCAUUUUUGUUCACAACAUUUUUUAAUUUAACUUAUGUCUUUUUUGGCUUACCCUUUAAUUUAUAGAGGUCUAAUUUUUUUAACAUGGUUGUCUCGGAUUAUCAUCGCUUGAAUAUCUUUUUUUAAUGUUGAAAAAAAUUUGGUCCGACCCUCGAUGUGGCUCAAGCCACCUUCUUUCCAAUGAACAACACUUAAAUAAUAGCAUUCAAGGAGAGGAACAAUGAUUUCCCUAUAUUAGUUUUUGUUGAUAGACUAGAUCUUUGACCUGCUCUACACUCGGGUCAGAUCAAUUUUUUUUAAAUUACAAAAGAAACAUCCAGACAUUGCUUAUAUUUUUCAAGUAAAUGAUUUUUAAAACCGCGUGGAUGUUGAGCCGAUAUGACCUGAUCGACCUGAUGGAUAUAACCCCAAACAACCUGUAAAAAUGUUGUUUGAUUACCAAAAAUUCAAGACAAUAUUUUUUUUUAAUAAUAUUAGAAUGAAAACAUAUUGAAUCGAUUCGGGCUAACACAGGUUAAUUUAUCAAAUUGACGACCUAGAUUAUAAGACUAUGAUAACCCCACAAAAAGUAAAUCAAAAUAAAUUACGAAGCUCAAUUCUCAAUCAACUCAUUGUUGAAGAAUGUAAAUGAAAAACAUUAAUUAAAAAAUAACAAAAAAUUAUCUAGGUUAACUUGUCAAACCUGUGAUCCGGGUUAUCAUAUCAAAGAUAACCUCAUGAAAAGUAGACAAAAAAAAUUACUUGAUUUAACCCGGAUUAAUAUGUCGAACCUGCGACCAAGGUCAUGAUAUUGUGAUAACCCCAUUAAAAAAAUCAAAAUAAAUUGUGAAGCCUAAUUUUUAAUAAACUCAUUGUUAAAGGUUGAAAAUAAAAAAAAAAUCAAUUUAAAAAUAGAACACAGUGAAACAACUUGAGUCUACCCGGGUUAACCCCCAAAACACGUGAUCCGAGCAUAAGACUGGAUAACCUCGUAGAAAGCAAAACAAAAUAAAUCACGAAGCCUAAAUCACAAUCAAACCAAUGUCGAAUCAUGAAAAUAUAAAAAAUGCCAAUGAAAAAGUUAAAAAAAAAAAAAAAAAAACUCAAGUCAACAGGGUUAACUCACCAAACCCACGACUCAAGUCACAAAGCUGAGAGAACCUCAUAAAAAAUAAAUCAAAAUAAAUCAUGGAGCCUAAUUCCCAGUCAACUUGAUGUUGAAUGACUAAAUUGAGAAAAAAAAACGAUCAAUUAAAAAGAGAGAAACCACAAUAAAUCUGCAACACGGGUUAUAAAUCCAAGCUAACCACAAUAAAUUAUGAAUCCUAAUAUCCAAUAAACUAAAUAUUGAAGUAUGAAAUUAGAAAAAAAAUCAGGAUAAUCUCAUAGAAAGUAAAUAAAAAAAGACCUAAGUCAACCUUAAUUAAUCUGUCAAACUCGCGAUCAAGAUCAUGAGACUGUGAUAACCUUGUUAAAAGCAAAAAUAAAUAAAUUAUGAAGCCUAGUUUUCAAUAAGCUCAUUGUUAAAGGUUGAAAAUGAAGAAAAUUAAAUUAAAAAAUGGGAUACAACAAAACAAUAUGUGUUUAUCCGUGUUAACCCACAAAACACGUGACCUAAGCAUAAAACCAAGAUAAACCCAUAGAAAACAAACCAAAAUAGUUCACGGGGCCUAAUUCGUAAUCAACCAAAUAGUGAAGGAUGAAAUAGAAAAAAUUCCAAUAAAAAAAAAUGUCAAUAAAAACUCAAGUUAAGUAGGUUGACCCGCCAAACCCGCGACUCGAGUAAUAAGACUGAGAUAACAUUAUAUAAAGCAAACUAAAAUAAAUCAUGAAACCUAAUUCCCAAUCAACCUAAUGUUGAAUGAUGAAAUUGAAAAAAAAUUAUCAAUUAAAAAAGAUAUAUAAAACUGGAGUCAACCCGCCAAACACGUGACACGGGUUACAAGAUUGAGCUAAAUAAAGCAAACCACAAUAAAUUAUAAAACCUAAUCUCCAAUAAACUAAAUAUUGAAGUAUAAAAUUAGAAAAAAUAUAUAUAUAUAGAAAAAUAAAGACAAAAAAAUGUUGUUGAAAUGAAUAGUAUUUUACAAGAUAGUGCACUAUAAAAGCACCACCUCUUUUAGUUUAUACUAGAUAUUUGACCCGUGUUUCACCAUUGGUUAGAAUUAUUAUUUUUUGACAAAAAAAUUUAUAUAUAGACUAUUUCAAUAAUUUUUUGUAUUUUAGAAAAUUCCAAGUGAAAAAAACAAUAUACAUACAUAUAAUCAAAACAAUUGAGAACUGUAUGUCUUAAUAAGUGAAAAACAAAAACUGAAAACUCGAGAGACAAGUAUAGAUUAAGAUAUUUAAUUUUGUAAGAUGUGACAUUUACACGGUUGUGUUUUCUAAAUUUAUUGAUUAAAAUAAUUGUUUUAUUCAAUCAAACAAUAAUAAAAAUAGACACACAAAUUAAGUUAAUUGAAUAAAAUAAAAUGUAAAAAAUAAUAUGCAAGGUUGCACAUAUUAGAAAUAUUAUUUGAAAAUAAAUUUCUUUUUAUUUUCAAAAUUAAAUUUCAUGUAUAUAAAAGAUUAAAAAAUAUAGAUUAAUAAGAAAUACCUCCUAAAAAAUUAAAUGCAUAAUUAAAAUAUAAUUUUCAUUUCAAAUAAGCUUUCUAAAAGCAUAAAAGAGAGAAAGAAUAUUAAUCUAAAUAAAAAUAAAAAUAAAAAUAAAAAUAAGAUUAAUUUUUAAAAAAUAGAAACAAAAAACAAAAGAAAAUCUUUUUCCCUAAAGAGAAAAAAAGUUAAUAAUGUUGUCCAUAGUAAAACUUGAGGGGUGAACCUAGACCAUGAGCUCAACCAGGUUUAAUAUUUUUUUCCCUUGAAAUUUAAACAUAAAAAAAAUAAACAAUGUCAUCCACGGUAAAACAUAAAGGGAUGAAUAAUGCAGUUGCACGAUGUUCACCUCACAUAUUUUCCCUUUAAAUUUAUAGCAAAACCUUAAAAUAAAAUAACAAACUAGUGUCGUCCAAAAUAAAACAUGAGGGGGUGAGCAGUGUAUCUACAUAGUGUUCACCCCAUAUGCAUUGUCAAAAUCUAAUUUUUUACCCUUUUAUUUUAAUUUUUUUUUUAUUACCCAAAAAAAUGAUAGCAAAAAAAAAAAGAAAAAGAAAAAAUGAUGAUGGAAGAAAUAAAAUGAUGAAAUAAUUGAAGAAGGAAUCAAAAUUUGGGUUAAGGGCAAAAUGAUUUGAAGUUUUUGUGUUCACUUAAACUUUGGAUUGGUUUUAUUAAUCAAAUCAAGAGCUUAAUUAGAGAAUUGAUAAGUUUUGAGACUUAAUUGAGCUUGGAAUUAAUUUAAAUAAUGAAAUCAGGGACUUAAUUGAAGAAAUACCAAAGUCUGGGGUUAAUUGAGGGCACAAUUGCAAUAUAUUAAAGUCCAAGGUCUAAAUUGUAAAAGGCGCCGAAAUGCAGGGAUCCAGUUACAAUUUAACUAGGAGCUUAAUUACAAAACUGUAAAAAAUUCAAGGGCCAAAAUGCAAAUAGCCAUUAAACACUAAAAAACAGCUUUGUUUCCCACUACUGUUCAUCUUCCUCCCGACUAAAACGGACGCCCACCGCUGCUCCCACCAUUACACCUGCAAUUAACACACUUUAUGGCUGGAAGAAACGGCAUUGUUCUCUGGUUAUAAAAGACAACAAGGCUAACAAGGUGUCUGGGUGAUCUGGAAGCCAACAAGCCCUUACAAGAAGUGCACGGGGCAAUUUGUGCUACCCACGCAAAUAGACACAUGAUGGCUAGGCAAAUGCAUAAUUUUUAACACGCAAAUAGAGCAGGUUAUUUUUAGCUGACCAAGGAGAAAGAUUGCAUAAUUUUGUCCGAAGGUGCCACAAAUGUCAAGUGUAUAGUGACAAAGUCAAUACGCCUCCCGCACCCUUAUUCAACAUAGUGUCUCCUUGGCCCUUUGCAAUGUGGGGAAUAGAUGUGAUUGAGCCAGCCUAUUAAUUCAAAAGCCAGUAAUGUGUAUCGUGUUAUCCUUAUAGCGAUUGAUUACUUUACCAAAUAGGUAAAGGUCUUCUCAUAUGCCCAUGUGACUUAGAAAGUGGUCAAACGGUUCAUAGACAAAGAUAUAAUCUGUAGAUAUGGUGUACCCGAGAGAGUAGUGACUGAUAAUGCUCAAAACUUCAAUGGAAAGAUAAUAGCAGAGCUUAUGCUUGCUUAUUCAUGUGCACAUCAAUCGAGCUACUUUUAUUGUUUAUACAUGUAUUUUGACUUUUAGAAACUCAUGAGGAACUUCAAACAUUCCAUUUUGACUUCAUUCCUGCAAAGAAAGCUGAUAGUCUUCAGCAUACACUCAUCAUACUUAAUCCAUUGCAUAAUCAUAACUACUAAUUCUUCUAUAGGCAAGAAAUUUUCUGGAACUCAGACUACCCUGUAACAACAACCACAAAAACAUCUCAAUUUUUUAGGAGGAAAUAUACUUGCUAGAGUUAAGUAUCAAAAUUCUCAUAUCCUGGAUGCUGAAUAUCAUCAAUGAGAGCACAAGCUGAUUUAACAGUAAAAAUCUCAUUCUUCUCUCACUGCCACACCCUUAUCUCAGCUGAAUAAAAAAUAGAUAAAUUCCACUCUGCUUUAGGUUUUGAUGACUCCAAACGCAGACACUCCCUAUUCUCAGCUUCAUGCAUGACCCCACAUUUAGCAAUACAUGUCAAUGAACGCGUUUGCUAUGAUCACACUGAUUCGUUGUGUUUUGUAACGAUGAUGUAGUUUCAAUGGAUUCCCUGACCAAAUUCCAAGCAAUCCAAUUGCCACAAGCAGAGAGCACACGAACUAAUGUUCUCCAAUGGAACAAACGCAGCCUCCAGCAUGUUACAAACCAUUCUAAAGCUUCCUUUGGGUGGUUGCCCAGCAAUCCCAUGGCACUCCAGGAAACCACAUUCCUCUCCGGAAUCUCAUUAAACGACAUCCUUGCCAGCUCUAGCUCACCGCGUUUAGCAAACCCAUCAACCAUACUCGUCCAAGAAAGCACAUCUCUAACUCCCAUACUCGUCCAAGCAGCCACAUUUCACAUUCAUGGUGAUUUGCAUUUCUAGUUUUACAUAUUCGUGAAAACUCUUCCCUAUUCUCAAACCCCCCUUCUGCGAGCAAGCUGAACGAGCGGCUCUAAUUUAAUUCUUUAAAUUCUUUGCCGCUUCCUCUCAACGCUGUCGUUUAUGCUGUAUUUGAAUAAUUUCCCUCUUCUGUUGUCUUAAUCCCUAGCUUUGUUAAUUCCAUUCGUGACACAGUGUGAGAGGGGGCAAAAGGCAAAAGGCAAAGGCAAGACAAAGCUUGGGGGUAGAUUAGCCAGACUAUAAAGGAGAAGGACUUAUUUGUACUUGUUCCAAGAUUGUGAGUCAAAAUAAUACCGCUUCUUUUCCUUCAAACGCAAUCUCGUCCUACGUUCCAGGGAAUCUUUUUACCUAAUCUCUUAAUAUAUAUUUGAAUGGCAUCUUGGCUUAAGCUCCUUCAAUUAUUGCUUUCGAAUAUUCUCAUGGUAUUGCUCUUUGUUUUUGAGGAUCCAAUUAAUAAGCAAAUCAUGGAGACUUGGCUGUUGACCCUCAACACUCUCGUCUGCAUUGACUCCUUCAAUAUCUUGGAUGUGAACCAGGCUUGGAAUAUUGGGUGUUCUUGUUUUUGAUACAUGUAAAGAGGUAAGCUAAGCAUCUCUUUCAAGAUCUCUCUAGCUGCUGCAGGGAUGCCAAAUCGCUUUCUUUCUUCAAGUUCCUUAGCAGGAGUAUUGUAUAGCAACCAACUUUCUUUGGGUUUUGCUCCAGGUUUGGGCCAAUUUUGAUGCCUUCUGUGAAUCCCUCCAUCUGGGCUUAUCAAAAGAGGAGGAAAGAAGUAAGUUUCUCUUCUCAGUUUCAGUGUUUCAGUACGCCAUAACACCAUCUCCAGCUUCUUUCAGAAGAGCAGUUCGAAGCAUUCGCAGAGCAGAAAAUAGUUUGGCGGACAGGUUCUGUCAUGUUAAAAGUUCAAUAGAUGGUCAGGAAUCUCAUCAAUCAUGAUGAAUGAAGAGAACAAAAACCCAAGACAUAAGCAUACCAAGUCCACUUCAGAUUGAGGUUGGGCAGGACUACAAGCUUGUGGAGGACUUAACUUCCCAGACAUUAGAGAGCCUUUUGCUGGAGUAGCCUCGGAUUUGCCCUGUUUUGAAGCUUUUACAGAGGAAGGGAAUCUACAAGGAGCAUGAGAUACCAGAAUGAGCAUCCUACCUGUUCAUUUCAGCUAUGAAAAACAGAAAGGUUAAAUGAUGAUAGUUUGUCCAGAGGAUCAUAAUAUGUGAGGCUAAGCAAAGCACAAGGCUAAGCUUGCUGGCUUCAUCCAACUCUUGGUCUCCAUAAUUUAGUCAAAGCCACCCUCGCUAAUGCUAUAUGUAAAUUGUAAAUUUUAUAACCAGUCGCUCCAAAGUUAAACAUCUGGACCAACCAACACAAAACUUACUCGGGCCAGAUUUCUGACAGCUUCAUCUGAAUUUCUUUGCAAAAACAUGUGUUUUGCAUAGGUUUUGCCCAAUGAAAGGGUAUGGUUUAGACCGAACAAUCCAACCCAAAUGAACUAAGACCUUGUCGGUUCUAUUUUCUCUUAUGCUCAAUAUCCACAUGCUUCUUCAGAGAAUAAUCAAAAGAAGCAUACAUUUGGCACUUUUCUUAUGCUCAAUAUCCACAUGCAUUUGGCAAUAGAGCACUGGCAUAAGUCUAAUGAAACAUGUACUCAAAAGAAGCAUGCUGAAAGGCUGCACCUUAAAACAAUCCUUUGCCCGCCAGAGCAUAGUUUGUGUGCCUUGGAUUCAUUCACCUGAAAGAAAUUAAAAUGAUCAUUUAACAUGAGAAAUUAAACAAUGAGAAUGGUAGAGUCGCUCUCUCUAUCACACUGAGUUAAGCUCUAUAUAGAAUUUGAAAAACCACAAGCACCUUUAACACUGACGAUACAGAUCUGUAAAUGUCACUUUUCUUAACUAUUUUGCAUUGUAUGAACCCAUUCUGACAAUAUAUCAAACCAGAAAGCAUGAAACCAACUCUUAAGAUGCCCUAAGCUUCAAAUUUAUAAUUAGAAGGCAAUAUCAAUUGAUAUUUUUUGCUAGAAUACUGGUAAUGUAGAUGACACUCACUUAGCAACUUUCUCUGGCGUGACAUAUAACAACUUGUAUUUACAAUAAUCAGAACAAAGUUCCCUUAGGAUCUCCUGUUGUUCAGUCCACUCCAUGUUGGCACUCAGGUAAGCAGCAGGAAUUUUUGCCUAUAGCACAAACCAAUAGGUAAGAAAAAUGCAUGCCACUAAAUGAGCAGUUUGCAGUAACCAAAGGAAAAUAAAUGCUUGACUAAAUUAGUAAGAUAGCUAGCAUACCUGUAAAAGGUGCAUUAUUUGAUCUUGGAUCAGCGACACGAGUGGAGAAAUUACUAAGGUUAUUCCAGGACAAACUAGAGCAGGAAGCUGCGUGAAUCAUUAAAAAAAAAAAAAAAAGAGUGGGUCCAUUGUUAAAACUGUGAACCAAGAAAAAGUUUAAUUUCCCAGUAUCACCAAAAAUUCAAAGAUAAAGAAAAUUUAGCCAAGCUGGUAUUCUAGAAUCAAUUCAAAUGCAAAAUAUUGUCAGAGAUAUGACUCUGGAAGUUAAACAGAUUGUCACAAAUGGAAACAGCAAAAUAAUGGAAAUUAAAUGAAACUAAAGCUGUGUCUAACAGAAUUAGACUUUAUUAGAGCUGAAUGAUCACCUGAUAUGUCAGACUUUUUCCACCUCCUGUUGGCAUUAAAACAAAGACAUCAUACCCACUCAUUGUAGCAUUGAUUACCUCUCUUUGAUUGGGGCGAAACGAGUGAUUUCCAAACACUUUUUUGUUAUUGGCCUAGCAGCAAACCAAGCAAACAGUAAUAUAGUAUGUAAUGAAACUAGUGAUUGAUAAAAUUCUAAGAAAUGGGUAAAAAUCUAGAGCAAAAGAGCACCUCCAGCUUUUUUGUCCAUGGGAAAUUUGUGCUGCUCCACUUUGAGCCUUCGAUAUAAUUAACUUCAACAAAGCUUGGAAUGUAAGGUUCUCUCUCUAAAGGAACAGAAGAAACAUCAAAGCUAUCAAUGGAAGAGAAUGAAACUGAGGGUGCAUUCCACUUUUCAUAUCCAUUCAGGUCAUUUCGUAGAUGAACCUGGGCAUCAAAUCUCAUGGGAUCUAUUUUGCAUGCAGCAGAUUGAGGUGUUUCAUACUGCAAAUUUCGAACCAAUGUGGAUGCAGAACAAUGUGACUUCUGUCUUUCCUUAUCACGAAGAUAUUUUUCAAGUUGCUGAAUUUGCUUAUUGAGCUGUGACCUAUUUAUGAAAACAGAAAUAGACAUGCAUAAGAGAGCAAAUCUAACAAUCAUUCGAGCUUAUCUCCCAAGAAAAGGAGCUGAGAGUGUUUUACAAAAUGCAAAAAGACAAUGGAGCAUAUUUUUCAUGUCUAUCAUACUAUAUUUCCUUCCAUGUAAUCCCAGAAUUCCUCUGCCAUACUCUAUUUCUAUUCUUCCUGUGAACUUUGGUUCACCUAUUGUGGCUCCAUUGAACCAAAAAAACCCAUGCAUCAAAAGGUAGUAUGAUAUCAUGGGAGAAGAAAAAGGAGAAGAAGCACAACCUAUCUUGGCGAAGCUUAUCUAUUUGCGCUUGACUCAGUUCAGCAGCAUUGUCAAGCAGAUCAUUUGAUACUGCAAUCAGCAUAUCCUUCAUUUCUUGUAAAUGUUUGGCAGCUUCUGGGCAAAGUCCUAGCUGUAAUGAUUUAAGAAUCAGGCAGAUCAAGAUGAGAAUAGAAUAGAACAGUGCAAAUAUAGUGCCCAAACCUUGAAUCCAUGACUGCAGUUUGAACACAACUCAGGUGGCACAGAAAUCUCCUCUGGCCUUGUAAAACUAUUUUGAUCUGCAGUUGGAGUUAUGAGCGGAAACUUAGAAAUUGCUGGUUGCGGUGUGCAAGUAGCUUGGUAGUGCUCCAUAACAAUUUGGUCCACAUCUAUACUCUGCCACCAAGCUAACAUGUGCAAGGAGCAUGAGAUACCAGAAUGAGCAUCCUACCUGUUCAUUUCAGCUAUGAAAAACAUCGAUGUUUGUUUCAUAGCAUCAUCACCAAUGUAUUAGCUCCCAUGAUUUAAAGAACUAUAUAUAUGUUAAAUCUAUUUCUUUUUUAUUCAUUUCGAUUUAUUUAUCCAUCAAAUCAAUGGAAAUCUUCAUUUUCAGACACUUGAAAAGCGCACAAAAUAGAAAAAAUUAAAAUUAAAAACCAACAAAAUUGAAAAACCUGGAAAUGUAAAAACUUGAAGAAAUAAAAAAAAAAAUUAUUGGAAAAGUAAGGUCAUUACAUAUAUACUAUAUAACUCAUACUAUUAGAGACAGAAUCUGAUCACAUAUAAUUAAUUAAAUCCAUUAUUGCUGAGAAUUACAUGCACGUAAUACAUAUUGAAGAAACUAAGAACAGCAACAUAUUUAUUUAAUUAGACUGAUGCUAAGAACAUCGAUUAUCACUACAAACAGUACUCAAACAUAAACAGAUUGACGCUCCAUGCAAAUAAUAGCUAGUUAGCUCUUGUCACUUCAACCCAAACCUCCUCACCAAACAGCAUGAAACUACUCCUCCUCUUAGCUUCAACCCUGAACUGUGACCCCAGGUUCUGGUCAUCCUCACGAUGAAGAACAACCAUGUCACCAACUCUCAGUCCAUAAUCAGCAACAAAUUGAAGCCAGCCCAUAGAAAGCACUGGAUUUUCACCAUUUCUCUUCAGGCAACGAAUGACUCGAAGCUCACCAUAGCAAUCUCUAACAUUCAAAUCAACAUAAUUAUUUCCAGCAAAAUCUAAAUGCUCUAAGCAAUGAGUUGGGAACGAGAACCGCACACGAACAUCAGUAUCAGUUAACACUUUGCUGAAGAUCUG
rnacentral:lncRNA from 1 species